rnacentral:lncRNA from 1 species
UGUAAAAUUAUGCCUUCACACUGCCAGGAAAGGUCCGUGGCCCCCAGACGCAUUCGAAACAGAGACGGAUCCAGCAAUUUGGCAACACCGAAUUCCAUCCAUUUAAACCUACGAUAAAUAAUCGAUUCAUAUCGGAGCACCUGGCCCCUCCAAGAAUCGAUACAUUUCCAUAGAUUUAAAUGGAGAAAAACAAUGUUGCCAAUUUGCUGGAUCCGCCAAUGAUUCGAAAAUCUAAUGGAUCGAUUCGAUGAAAAAAAGUCCAAAGAGUAAGCUACUCCGGUUGGAUACUUUAAAAACUAAUCAAAAUGGACCAACCGAAAUUUCGUGUUAUUUUGGGCUCUCUUUGCCAUGUAAAACAAAUCGACGAUGAAAUUUCUAAACCACGUAUGUCGUUUGCGGUGUUUAAAAUUCUCCGCACCUGUUUUGAUUUUUUAAGGGAGAACCAAUCAACAUAACGCCUUGAAGUUGGCUGUUUCCGGGUUGCGUUCCUGGUCAUUCCGAAUUGCAUCCCGAGCUCUAUCCAAAUUGUGUCAGGCGCAUAUAUUGGGAAGGUGGCAAUACCGCAUAUGAAAGGCGAUGUCAAUUGUCGAGCAUGUUCAGUGCAAAAUUGCGGGUGUUUUUUAAAAGAGUUCGUAUUGGCACUGAGGGGAAGGCGCGAAGUUAAGUUCACUGAGCGGGAAAAUACCUGGAUAACGGCACUAAAGAAAUUCGAGAAGAACGACCCGUGCAAGCAAUACAAAAUCUGGGACGGUUCGGCCUAUGAAACUAAAAAACAGGCUGACAUUCAUUGCAUCACAGCCAAGAACGCCUAUGCCGACCUACCCGAUCGCUACAAACGCAAUCGCUGCAAGAAUCCCCGACAGGCCGCGUGCUAUCGGAAAACUCGAAAUAAGUAUAGAUGCGGUUUCAUUGUUGACGCACAACCAGUCGGGGGAUGGAUCGGCUGUGUCACUCGGUCAUCUCCACAGGGUGUCUUCAUACGUCUGAAGACAUGCAUCCAGAACCUGGACCUCAACCCACCAACCUGGGAUGACCCCAGACUAACCUGAUGAUUCUUGGAUGGAGCCAUUGAUCCCGGAAAGACAAGAUUUGACGAACUUUUGCAAUCGAACUAGACCUGGGCUACGAUCUCAAGGGCACUUUGGAACUGGUGGUGGUCCUGCGGGCCGAUUAUUGAAAUUCAUAGACACAGCUGUAGACAAACAAGACAUAAAGAGUGUAAGUUCUUGUCUCCACGGGACGUUUUCAUGGGAUUUGUCCCAAGUUCGAAUCGCAGGAAUGAAACUUCUGGGAUUUUUCCCAGUUACCAUCUCCAUGAGAGGGGACGGGGCUCAUACAGUCCUGCGACUAGUUUUCGCGGGAAAAUGAAGUCAACCGUGAUUAAAAUAAUAAUUGCACUCAAUUAGACACAUUAUUUUAACUAAACAAACAUUAACAAUGAAGUAAUGAAUAAAACAUCGCACAGUCUGUUUUCACUUCUUCUUCCUCCCUCAGUGGGCCCCCGGGGUACAAGGACCAUACUUGAUACUGGCAAAGAUAUUGAUUAACUCAAUAUUUGUCCCCACUUCGUAAGUGGGAUUUUUCCCAGGGACAAAUCUCGUGAAACAUCCCGUGGAGACAAGACCUAAGGCGAUCCUCUUGGUUGAAAUGGGUGGUUCGUAUAAACUAAGGGGGUAAAUGAUGGACUAACUAUCUGGCCUCUCGUGGGUUGCCGUUAGUCGGCUUAUCACAUCCGCCCUUCGUCCAUUGCAACCCCACCCGCUUCCACCAAUAGGAUCCCGGAUCCCUCCAUAUCCUUUUUUUCUUCUUUGUCUAUUGCUUUGUCCAUCAAUUGAGAUGUUGCAUGUGUGAGGGAUAUGCGAUUUGACAGUUCAUUCGUAUGUAAAAGUUUGCAAGAAACACGAUGGUGCCACUGGUUUUCUCUCAAAUCAUCUCCCAAGCACAAAAAAACCUCUCAAAGUGAGGCCAAAAUGGAGGGGACAUCCCGCCCUACCCUGAGAGUCCACCUCUACAUCAAAACAAACUCUCCAUGCAAAGAUAGGGAGCACAUACAUUAACAGGAUUGCCGUGUUUUCAGUUUUGGAGUCGCCAAAUAAAGUGGCAGCCCUGUCAAUGUAUUUGCUCCCUAUCUUUGAGUUGGUCUUGAUGUAGAGGUGGACACUCAGGGUAGGGUGGGAUAUACCCUCCAUUUUGGCCUCACUUUGAGAGCUUUUUUUGAGCUUGGGAGAUGAUUUCAGAGAAAACCAGUGGCACCAUUGUGUUUCUCGCGAAUUUUUACAUAAGAAUCAACAAUCAAAUCGCAAAUCCCUCACACAUGCAACAUCUCCAUUUCAAUAAUUGUCCGCUGGUCCUGACCAAAACGAAUAGUAGCUCCUUAUAAAAAAAUGGCUCAAAAAUCACGCAAAGCCAGUGGCGUAAAAAGGGAGGGCAGGGGGAGGGUUACCCUCCCCCUAGAAUUGAAAAUAGUAUCAGCUGCCUCCCCCCCCCCCCCAGAAAUUCUGAAUGGUGGGAAAAGACCUUCGUUGAGAGUGAUUAUCUCUCUUUUAUGUAGAACCUAAAUUGGAAACACCGUGCUCAUUCACUUGGUAUUUUCUAAAAUUUUCACCACGGAGGCCUCAAAAUGCAUCCAAGAGAGUUAGAAUUUCAAAAAAAUUUCCGGAUCCAUUCUAUGCAACAAUUCGAAAGUAUUCCUUGCUGCACGGAAAAAAAAUUAGGUAGCAUUUACCAUAUUCUUCCAGGCGUCGGCCAUGUUGAGUGUUGUGUAGCAUCCUAGUGCGCAAGGGUCUGAUGGGACGACUCCUCUCACGAAAUGUUUACGUGUGCCGUAGCGACGUUUUGGAAGCGGGAAGCUUAAGAAAAUGCACAUUAAUACACAGAAUGUGAUGUCAGGAGCGUCUUUUAGAAUUUUCCGAUACGUUCAUCGUGAAUUUAAGCCAUUUUCAAUGAGGAAUUACUCUUCUUUACCCUAGCUGAAAUGUGCAACAAGUUUAUUGAUAUGUGAUUCUAGUACAGGUUCCAGCUUCUUGCAGGUCAUGGUUUGGGCUCCAGUUCGGGUUUCACAACCAGUUUCAACACAGCCCUGAGGAUUUUGGUUUUAUUGAUGUUCUUUUUCGUGUAAACAAGAUUAAAUAGCUAAAAAAUGGAUUUUGAGCGUUCACCACGUUUGUAGUGUACGCUCUCUCCGGCCGUUUUGCAGCGGGUAUGUUACUAAUGGAUCCAUUGGUAAUAGCCCACGCUGCUCCGUGGGAAUCGGCGCCACUUUUCGUGGCGGGAAGCAAUUCCUAGUUUCUCAAUUUUAUUUAUGUACCAUUUCUACCUUUUUUUUCCUAUUUUGUCCACUUUAUGUAAUGCCUGUAAGCUUGUCUUUGAGAAAUUAAUAUCUUUACGUUUUAAAACUCUGCAACGUCCUUUUAUUUA